AACGAACGCUGGCGGCAGGCCUAACACAUUCAAGUCGAGCGCUCACCUUCGGGUGGGAGCGGCGCACGGGCGAGUAACACGUGGGAACCUACCUUGAAGUACGGAAUAACUGAGGGAAACUUCAGCUAAUACCGUAUACGCCCUACGGGGGAAAGAUUUAUCGCUUCAGGACGGGCCCGCGUUGGAUUAGCUAGUUGGUGAGGUAAUGGCUCACCAAGGCAACGAGCCAUAGCUGAUUUGAGAGAAUGAUCAGCCACACUGGGACUGAGACACGGCCCAGAUUCCUACGGGAGGCAGCAGUGGGGAAUAUUGGACAAUGGGCGCAAGCCUGAUCCAGCCAUGCCGCGUGAGUGAUGAAGGCCCUCGGGUUGUAAAGCUCUUUCAGAUGGGACGAUGAUGACGGUACCAUCAGAAGAAGCCCCGGCUAACUUCGUGCCAGCCGCCGCAGUAAUAC
rnacentral:rRNA from 1 species